CACUUGAACCCUGGUGUUUGUCACCGCUGUAUCCAGCCAAGUGCGCUUUUUAGUGGCUUAAAACUCUGGAGCCGAGCAAAGCAGGGGCUACGAGAGGCGAAAGCCAAUUCGUCGAACUGCAACCUCCACCCGCCCCCGCCAAAAGUUCCGUGACUUGCCCGAGGCCACUCAGUACUGAUGGGCAACAGUGAAUGCUCAAGGAGAUACCUGUUUGAAGUGGGCAGAGGUACAGUCCCGUUUUACACAACAGGACGGGUCACGGGCCGAAGUUAAAACAGCUAGUAAACGGUGGAGCCGGGAUUCAACCCAGAGCCGAUAACCUUUUGAUUCCCGGAAGACGAUUCAAGUCUUCUUAACCCAUUGUCUCCGUGUUCAGCUUCUCGACCCUGUAAGACAGUCUCCGGAAAUGAUCCGGGGUUUGAGUGUUGGAAGCACUGGCUAGGGAAAGGCAAGGCACCCUGUGUGGAAGCACCCUGUUUGGCCAAUGGGUAAACGCGUAUCAGAGAGAGCGAAUGACAUGCAGAAAAGGAGCUACCCGUAGGCCUUCUCUAAACUGCCCCAGGUUGGCAAGACCUAUAUCCCCCUAAAAGCAUAGCAUGUGCUCUCCAGACAGAAGCUGGGUUCCAAAGCCUUGCAUGCACAGCGGUUGCCAACGGCAACGAAUAUUUCUCUCUCCAUCACUACCUCCCGCUUGAAAAACUAAGAACGGGUAGAGGCCAGUUCCCAAAAUUUUUCACAGGUAACAACACAAAUAGGUCCCAGAACCCAAAUUAUAAUUUUUUUUUUCGAUAGGGGCAUCCAAACCCCUUUGUUUUAUUUCUAGAAUCCUCUGGAUAUGUUACAGAGUAUAAAUAUAAACUCCUUUGUGGAUUACAAUUAUUAUUAAGUUUGAGUGAACAGAGACAUAGAUGAAAGAGAAAAACAAAGAGGCACUGGUGUGCACAGGGUGAGAAUACAUGGCACCAAAGGACAAUCCGUGGUAGCUGUUCUUGUUCGCCCCCAAGACACUGCUCAGUCCUUCUGACCAUUUUCCCAGAGUGAACGGUGGAAUAAAAAGAAUGGGGAGGGGGUUAGUUAUAUAACUCAGUGGUAAAGCAUUUGCUUAGUAUGCACAAGGUCCUGGACAAAGAUUUAAAAAAAAAAAAUCUACUGGCCCUUUUAU